rnacentral:rRNA from 1 species
UACAGAGGGGGCAAGCGUUGUCCGGACUGACUGGGCGUAAAGCGCACGCAGGCGGUCACGGGCGUCGGUGCUGAAAGUGCGCCGCUUAACGGCGCAAUGCGUAUCGAUACGCCGUGACUGGAGCAAUGCAGAGGCCAGUGGAAUUCCAGGUGUAGCGGUGAAAUGCGUAGAUAUCUGGAGGAAUACCGGUGGCGAAGGCGGCAUCCUGGACCGACAUUGACGCUGAACGGCGAAAGCUAGGGGAGCAAACAGG